UUUGAUGGUUGGUACCCGAAGUCUCAAAUUCGAAUCCUAGUUGAUUCAUAUUUUCAGCUAAAUUUAUUUCUAAAUGAAAUAAACGAAACAGGUAGCAGGCUACCUAUCUCUCGUAAUUUGAGGACCAAAAGUGUAAUUGACCCUAAUAUAUAUUAUAUUAUGUUAUAAUAAUUUUAAUCAUUUAAUCCUCAUAUUAUUAGUCAUUUACUAAUACUUAUAUCAUUAUUAAUUAGUUACUAUUAUAAAAAUUGUUUAUUUAAUUUAAUUUAACUAUUAAAAUAGUUUAUUUAAAUUAUUUUAAUAAAUAAUUUAACUAAUUAAUUAUAUAGAAAUAUAUACAUUAAUAAUAAUUUAUUACUAAAUUACUUUAUCC
rnacentral:lncRNA from 1 species